rnacentral:piRNA from 1 species
UGAAACAUCAAGUGGUGAGGUUGAAGUGU